rnacentral:rRNA from 1 species
UGUCUUCGAGUCGUUGAUUUCACACUGCCGAGAAAAGCCUCUAGAUAGAAAAUAGGUGCCCGUACCGCAAACCGACACAGGUAGUCAAGAUGAGAAUUCUAAGGUGAGCGAGCGAACUCUCGUUAAGGAACUCGGCAAAAUGACCCCGUAACUUCGGGAGAAGGGGUGCUCUUUAGGGUUAACGCCCAGAAGAGCCGCAGUGAAUAGGCCCAAGCGACUGUUUAUCAAAAACACAGGUCUCUGCUAAACCGUAAGGUGAUGUAUAGGGGCUGACGCCUGCCCGGUGCUGGAAGGUUAAGAGGAGUGGUUAGCUUCUGCGAAGCUACGAAUCGAAGCCCCAGUAAACGGCGGCCGUAACUAUAACGGUCCUAAGGUAGCGAAAUUCCUUGUCGGGUAAGUUCCGACCCGCACGAAAGGCGUAACGAUUUGGGCACUGUCUCAACGAGAGACUCGGUGAAAUCAUAGUACCUGUGAAGAUGCAGGUUACCCGCGACAGGACGGAAAGACCCCGUGGAGCUUUACUGUAGCCUGAUAUUGAAAUUCGGCACAGCUUGUACAGGAUAGGUAGGAGCCUUUGAAACGUGAGCGCUAGCUUACGUGGAGGCGCUGGUGGGAUACUACCCUAGCUGUGUUGGCUUUCUAACCCGCACCACUUAUCGUGGUGGGAGACAGUGUCAGGCGGGCAGUUUGACUGGGGCGGUCGCCUCCUAAAAGGUAACGGAGGCGCUCAAAGGUUCCCUCAGAAUGGUUGGAAAUCAUUCAUAGAGUGUAAAGGCAUAAGGGAGCUUGACUGCGAGACCUACAAGUCGAGCAGGGUCGAAAGACGGACUUAGUGAUCCGGUGGUUCCGCAUGGAAGGGCCAUCGCUCAACGGAUAAAAGCUACCCCGGGGAUAACAGGCUUAUCUCCCCCAAGAGUUCACAUCGACGGGGAGGUUUGGCACCUCGAUGUCGGCUCAUCGCAUCCUGGGGCUGUAGUCGGUCCCAAGGGUUGGGCUGUUCGCCCAUUAAAGCGGUACGCGAGCUGGGUUCAGAACGUCGUGAGACAGUUCGGUCCCUAUCCGUCGUGGGCGUAGGAAAUUUGAGAGGAGCUGUCCUUAGUACGAGAGGACCGGGAUGGACAUACCUCUGGUGUACCAGUUGUCGUGCCAACGGCAUAGCUGGGUAGCUAUGUGUGGACGGGAUAAGUGCUGAAAGCAUCUAAGCAUGAAGCCCCCCUCAAGAUGAGAUUUCCCAACUUCGGUUAUAAGAUCCCUCAAAGAUGAUGAGGUUAAUAGGUUCGAGGUGGAAGCAUGGUGACAUGUGGAGCUGACGAAUACUAAUCGAUCGAAGACUUAAUCAA